UAAAACUGCUCCGUCAGCAUGGAUCCUGGAGUGCUGUGGAUGGAACACCAAACCAGCUUGAGACAAACCUGAACACAUGUAUACCAGGUAGUCUUGACAGCUACAAUGAGUCUUGAAGCCUCAAGAGCGUUGAGUAUUUAUGUUCUCCAUGUCAACUUGUGUCAGAGCUACGUGUUGUUCUGCCCUGUUAAACAACUUGACUUCCUUGUUCUGCCAUCCAAACUUUUCACCCUCAUUAAGAUAUAACUCUUGAAUAUCCCAGACUCCUUCUUGAUCAUUCUGCUCACACAUACCAUCAGCUGAACAGGCCGUGAUGACCCUAUACCCAUUCUUUUCAUUUGUGCCAGUGCUUUAGUUAGUCUCAUGUGUGGUUUGAUGGAAUAGCUCCUGUGGUAUUUAGAAAGUGUGUGUUAUAUAGAAGGAGGAGGAGGGAAAGGAGA